rnacentral:rRNA from 1 species
AUUGAACGCUGGCGGCAGGCCUAACACAUGCAAGUCGAGCGAGCGGCGGACGGGUGAGUAAUGUCGGGGAAACUGCCUGAUGGAGGGGGAUAACUACUGGAAACGGUAGCUAAUACCGCAUACCAUCAGAUGUGCCCAGAUGGGUUUGGCUAGUAGGUGGGGUAACGGCUCACCUAGGCGACGAUCCCUAGCUGGUAUGGGAGGAUGACCAGCCACACUGGAACUGAUGCACGGUCCAGGUUACUACGGGAGGCAGCAGUGGGGAAUAUUGCACAGAGGACGCGAGCCUGAUGCAGCCAUGCCGCGUGUGUGAAGAAGGCCUUCGGGUUGUAGAGCACUUUCAGCGGGGAGGCGUUACCCGCAGAAGAAGCACCGGGUAACUCCGUGCCAGCAGCCGCGGUAAUUC